AACGUCACAUCUUUGAUAUUUUAUUUUUAAAUAAUUAUUUUAUCUUAUUUUCUUUAAUAUUUCAUUAAUCAUUAUCUUCUUCUAUUUGGUUUACCCAUUUUCCCCUUUAAUAAAAAUCGGUUGGCGCUCGUUCUGUAAUAGGCAACCCUAUUUACAUUGUAUCAUCUCUUGUGUUCCAUGUUCGUGAUUUCAAAUUUCGUCCAAGGUUCGUUGUCAUGUCAUUUUAAUGACAAUGACAACCCCCAUAUCUCAUUCUCAAAAUGGAGGUGGAAAUGUUUUAAAAAGCAAAGCAGCUUCAAAAAUAAAUCAUUUUAUUUCAACAAAUCAUCUUCCUCUUGGGUUUUUUGGAAAGAGAUCAACCUUUCCCUCUUCGGGAACUUAAGCCUCACAUCACCGGUGAUGCACACUUGAAGGCAAAGACAAUGACAUCCAGACUGCACAACCACCACCUCUAGCUGCAGGGGCCUUGCGCCGAAGAUCCGCCCAGGCCUACGAGAAGUCUACAACAGCAGUACCAUACGACAUCAAGAAGAUACCAUCAGCUACCAAAAGCCAUAAGUAUAAUCCAGAAUUGUUAGUUUUUGGCAAGAAUUUAAAUACAUUUGUUAAUGCAAUUUACUAAGUCAUUUUAUUUAUUAUAUCUUUAUGAACAAUAAACAUGAUUAGUUAAAAACUA